rnacentral:snoRNA from 1 species
AAGACUAUACUUUCAGGGAUCAGUUCUGUAAUUCACUGCUACAGAAGUUUCUCUGAUCGUGUGGAGCACCAGAACCAUGAGGAGGCACAGCGUUCUCUCCUGAGCAUGAAGCUUGGUGUUGCUUCCCUGCAGUGGCCAUUUGCCAUGAAUGAUCAUUCUUGCUUUCCCUCAGGGGAACAAGAGGGAGAGACACAGUCUGAAUGGG